AUUAAACGCUGGCGGCAUGCCUUACACAUGCAAGUCGAACGGCAGCACGGGGGCAACCCUGGUGGCGAGUGGCGAACGGGUGAGUAAAGCAUCGGAACGUGCCCUGGAGUGGGGGAUAACGUAGCGAAAGUUACGCUAAUACCGCAUAUUCUGUGAGCAGGAAAGCAGGGGAUCGCAAGACCUUGCGCUCUGGGAGCGGCCGAUGUCGGAUUAGCUAGUUGGUGGGGUAAAGGCCUACCAAGGCGACGAUCCGUAGCGGGUCUGAGAGGAUGAUCCGCCACACUGGGACUGAGACACGGCCCAGACUCCUACGGGAGGCAGCAGUGGGGAAUUUUGGACAAUGGGCGAAAGCCUGAUCCAGCCAUGCCGCGUGAG
rnacentral:rRNA from 1 species